UGGCGGACGGGUGAGUAAUGUCUGGGAAACUGCCUGAUGGAGGGGGAUAACUACUGGAAACGGUAGCUAAUACCGCAUAACGUCGCAAGACCAAAGAGGGGGACCUUCGGGCCUCUUGCCAUCGGAUGUGCCCAGAUGGGAUUAGCUAGUAGGUGGGGUAACGGCUCACCUAGGCGACGAUCCCUAGCUGGUCUGAGAGGAUGACCAGCCACACUGGAACUGAGACACGGUCCAGACUCCUACGGGAAGCAGCAUG
rnacentral:rRNA from 1 species